UACUACAGCCAUAUGACCCUGCAGCCCGAGACCUGUCCCUCACUGAAGCUAAGCAGGGCUGAGCCUGUCCAGUUCCUGGAUGGGAGACCACAUGGGAAAACUAGGCUGCUGUUGGAA
ensembl:rRNA 5S_rRNA 5S ribosomal RNA